UUACAUUCUCCCCCCCUUAUAAGGAUUCUGUCCCCAGAAUCUCGCUUAUAAUUACAUAAACAAAUGAGAAAAAUUUUCAUUUUACUUUCGAGUUCCCACGUUGCUUCUUCAGCAUUGUGGUUUCUCCAUAACACAUUCACUGAAGGUAAUUGAGGCCUUUGAUACUUCCAUUUUAUCAUGUUUGGCUUGAUUGCUUUUAUUUUUGAGAUGUGAGGCAUCUUCGAGAAAAUAAGAUACAUAGCAGUGCCGAACUCCUUGUGUGCAUGAGAGCCAUCUAAGGAAAUUCAUACUCCGUGAAUAGAUUAAAAGCUACCUGUAGCUGAAAAUGUCCAUCAAAGGAACCGAAUCUAGAUUCAAAGACUGAAUCUGUGAUCACAUGAUUCCUAGGCUCACAUAUGAAAGCAAAUAUGUGCAAAAGCUAGAAGACCGUCUAGAUUUGAAUAAAUUUAAGCAUUCCAUCUUCAACGGUUCCAGUUUAGUCACCCUGAACCGGUCAAAUUGAGAAAUAGCCAAAUUUAGGCAAAUCUAACCCACAUGUUAAUAAAAGCUAGAAAAAGAACUAGAUUUGAGUAAAUAUAAACCAUUCCAGCUUUAACGGUUCCAGUUUAGUCACCAUGAACCGGUUAAAGUGAGAAAUAGUCAGAUUUAAGAAAAUCUAGCCUACAGAAUAAAUAACAAUUAUAUAUAUAGGAAAAUGAUCCAUAGCAAAUAUUUUCUAUGGAUCAAAAUUGGGAAAAUAGCAUCAUAACUGCACAUUAUAUAAAUUAAGGGCUGAGAUUUAAAACUAAAACACGCCUUCUGCCAGACGAACUGGCGUAGCAUGAAAAAUCUAUAUGACCGUCCGCAAGACGGUCUAGUGGAUGGUAGAAAAAUAAUAUUCGGACUAAAUUAACCCCCAAGUAAUCCGACCAGCCUACAGGUCAUGGAAUACGCCAGGCAACAGUUACAGGCCAUGCAAUAGGAAUAUAUCAGUCAACAGUUCUAAUCUAAUAAGGCAAUAACAAAUAUAUGCCAGCCAAUAGUUGUAAUCUGAUAAGGCAAUUAGCCAUGCAAUCAAGUCUAAAUCACAAAAAGAAUCAAAUCCAAAUCAAAGAAGGAAAUAAAAUAUGAAAUAGCCUCCAUGCUAAAAAAAAAACUAACAUGAAAUUCCACAAGUAAAAAAUACAAACCUUAUAUUAUUAUCAUAUUUAUUCCUUAUAAUUUCUUUUAAAUAUCCCCCCAAAAAAAUAUUAAGGUAGAAAACUACGCAAUUAAUUAAGUAAGGCUUUGCAGGUCAAAAUCAUCCUGGUAAGUUUUCAAAUAUGGCUGAAGAUAUGUUUAAUUCAAGUUCUUCAAAUUCUUCUCAUGAUAAUAUUGACAUGGAUAAUAUUGGUGUUCAUAACACGAACCAAUCGCAUAUCAACGUUUCAAAAAGUCCAUAUGAGGGUCAGAUUUUUUCUACUAUCCAAGAGGCGAAAGAAUUUUAUAGAACAUAUGCACGUAGUUGUGGAUUUGAAAUUAAAAUUGGGGCAACUCAUAAAUAUGCUCACUCCAACAAUUUGUCAAACCGACUUUUUACAUGUAAGAAAGCUAGAAAACCAAUUGAAAGAAAUAAACAAGGCGUUGGUGAAGUUGAUGGUAGUAAGGUUAAAAGAAAAAGGGAUUCUAUAGGUCGGACGAUGUGCAAAGCUAGAAUGUUUGUUGUUCAUCUAAAGAAUGAAGAUACCUGGAAAGUUUCAAAAAUUGAGUUGUCUCACAAUCAUGAUUUGGUGACUCUGAGAAAGAAUAAUUUCAUUCAAACACAGAAAAAUAUAACUCAUGUUGCCCGAAGUUUAAUCGGAAUUUUCACAAGGACUGGAGUUGGGCCAAGUAAAAUGAUGAAUGUAUUUAGUGAAAUAGGAGGAGGGGUGAAAAAUAUCAGUUUAAGUGAUAAGGAUAUUCGUAAUGUUGUUCGAGAUAUAAGACGUGACACAAUUGAUUCAAACGAUGCCCAAGCAGCAUUGCAGUACUUGAAAAAACUCUCGGCAGAAAAUCCUCUAUUUUUUUACGAUAUCAAACGAGAUGAAGAUAAUCGCAUCGAAUGUAUCUUGUGGAUAGAUUAUUGAUCAAUGAUAGCUUACAAAAAUUUUGGGGAUGUAGUGACAUUUGAUGUAACUUAUCGAACGAAUAAGUAUUUUAUGCCGUUUAUUCCGUUCACGGGGGUUAAUCAUCAUUAUCAUUUCAUCUUGUUUGGUUUUGCAUUGAUUCAGGAAGAAACAGAGGAUACUUUUGUAUGGGUUUUUGAAAGUUGGCUUCAAGCGAUGAACAACAAGGCACCGGUUACCAUUAUCACUGAUCAUGACAAAGAUAUGAGCAAUGCGAUUGCUAAGGUUCUUCCAGAAACACACCAUGCUCUUUGCACAUGGCAUAUUAGCAACAAAUUUCCAAAGAAAUUACAUACAUUGUAUGAACAGUACCCAACAUUUAAACAUGAUUUUAAUUGCUGUGUGUAUAAAUCUUUGACCGUUGCGAAUUUUGAGGAGCGAUGGAAAAAGUUGAUGAUAGAUUACGAACUGCAUGACCAUGAUUGGCUCCAAUCACUUUAUGAGGUUAAGCACAAAUGGAUCAAGGCGUAUACAAAGAAUAUUUUUGCAGUAGGAAUGACAACUACAUCCAGGAGUGAUGGAAUGAACAGUUUGUUCGAUGAUAUGUGAAUGCGACAACGAGUAUCAAGGAAUUUAUCAUAAAUACAGAAAAGCACUUGAGAAGCAGGUCAUGAGAGAGAGAAGAGCUGACUACGUUACUUGUCAUCGGACCCGAAAUAUGACUCUUGAAUCACCAUUGGAAACACAUGGAGCAAAUAUUUAUACAAAGGAGAUGUUCAGACGCUUUCAGACUAAGAUAAUAAAAUCUCAUAAGUACGUAAUGCAGAAGCUUCAACAACUAACAACAUCGAAUAAAAAUUCGUAUGCAUUGUGCAAGGCAAGCGACAACGAAAAAUCAAUUAGGUACGUUACCGUUGUUACUAAUGUUCAAACUGGAGAUAUAAUUUUGAUUGUAAAAAAUUUGAACAUUCUGGUAUGCUUUGUAAACACAUUAUAAGGCAUAUGAUUGCCAAAAGUACAAAAAAGAUACUUGAUAAAUACGUUUUAAGGAAGUGGUGUAGAGAUGGUGAUAAAUUGAACGCUGAAUUACCAAAGAUUUUGACUGAAAUGUCCAACUAUGAGGAAUCUCAGACGAUACGUUACAAUUAUUUAAUGACGUUGCUCUUGCGAUUAGCUUCUACUGGAUCAUGCUCAAUUAAUGGUUUUAAGCAUGUUGUACAAUUGUGCAUUGACAAUCAACCCAUCGUUGAGAAAUUUGACCCUGAUGAAAUUUGUGUAAAAGAGGUUCCUGAUAUUCGAGAAGAUGAUGAUCAGCCCGUUGAAGAUGAGCUGUUAGUGGAUCCUAUUUGUUCGCAAACAAAGGGGCGAAAAAAAGCAACAAGAAUAAAGAGUCGGUUCGAAGAGGCUGCAAGUCGUAAACAAUUGAGAAAGUGUGCAGUAUGCAAUAUGAUGACCAAUCACGAUAAGCGGAACAACUACAAAAUUAUGGGUCAAGAAAAGUCGGGUGUUUGAAGUUAUCUCAAUAUGUAAUUUUAUGAUUAUGUAAUGGCAAAAUUAUUUAUUUUUGGUUAUAUAUGUUGAUUUAUCAGCAUAAAUUAUUAUUUCCCAAAAGUUACAUUAGAUGAAUUACUCACAAUUAGUUAAUGAGUUAGACCUUAUAUUUCCAAAUAUCAAUCGUUCGGAAAAAAUAAUAUUACAAAAAGAAAAAAAAAUAAAUUGAUAUUACAUGUGUUGAACUGACAACUUUGGAUAUGCUCAAAAUGGUAGAGCAAAGCACUCUCUGCUAUUCUAUGACUAAAUGAUUGCAAGUGGUACAAAACCUGAUUUUAUUACUUUUAUUGGCCUACUUUUUGCUUGCAGCCAUGCGGGUCUUGUGGAACAUGCACACCAGUACUUUGAAUCUAUGAAAAACUAUUAUGGGCUAAAGUCGGGUCCAGAUCACUAUGCAUGUAUGUGCGAGGCAGAGGAAAUUGUAAAGAUUUCCACCAAGCUAUAAAAUUUUCCAGAAAACUCACCAAAAAACAUCACGUCAAGCAAAUAAUACCUGUGAAUACUUUUCUUUACUAUAUAUCUAUUGAACUUGAAAGUGUUGAAUGUGUUGUAUUUCUUAAACUUUUUUAUAAGUGAUUUAAUGGGACAUGAAUACCCAUCACAUCAGGCCUAUAAUUCCACAAGCUCAUUGCACUUAUCUGAAUACCACCCACUUGUGAGAAGAGAUUUAAAAUAAUCAAGCCCAAUUAUACGUAAAAACCAACACCAGAUAUAUUUGUAAUCUAAUAACUUACAGAAGAAAGAAGCAAUUGACGGUGAUCAGGAUCUAUGUACGAAACUACUCCAGAUAGUGCCUUCAAACUUGUCUAUCAAUCAAACGAAAAUGAUAUUAGGAGAACCAUGGACCAUGUACAGAGAAAUAUAUACCUCCAUAACGUAUAGUUUGAUUUCUUUUCAACGAAUCAACAUACCACAAGCAUGGACACUUCAUCAGGUGCAAGGCGUUCAGUGUGGUGAAGAACCCCAAUCAGCUCAUGAUAACUGUCACAUUCACCCUGAACCAGUGAAAAUUGGUUGUUAAUAACUUAUCAAAGCCUCCAAAGAUGAACAAAUGCUAAGAAUAUGCUAAAUUCCUACAAUCAAGCUGUGAACCAGCCUGCUAUACAUUCUACUAAAUUGAUAAAAGCAAUAUUUAUAAUAAUACCAAAAAAGGAAAAUAAAAUGCACUAUCUACCAUUCAAUAUUUUAAAAUAUAUGCUUCAUAUGGGCCAAAAAACAGUGGUUCUCAGAAUUUUAGUCAAGGUGGCGAAAGAUAAAUAUUUAACCCCUUGUCUAUCCCUGCAAAUGAGUUCAUCCACAAAGCCAAUUAAAGCAAAGCAAGAACUUUCUCAGACUGCAAUAGCCAAACUCUAAUACAAGAAAUGAAAAUCAUAACCGAAUAUCUUUCUAAGAACAAAAUAUUAGUUCAAUCAAACAAAAAUAGUAAAUAAAAAGCUAACAGUCGUGCCUGAACACAAAACCACUGAUU
rnacentral:lncRNA from 1 species